GAUGAACGCUGGCGGCGUGCUUAACACAUGCAAGUCGAACGGUGAACACGGAGCUUGCUCUGUGGGAUCAGUGGCGAACGGGUGAGUAACACGUGAGCAACCUGCCCCUGACUCUGGGAUAAGCGCUGGAAACGGCGUCUAAUACUGGAUAUGUGACGUGACCGCAUGGUCUGCGUUUGGAAAGAUUUUUCGGUUGGGGAUGGGCUCGCGGCCUAUCAGCUUGUUGGUGAGGUAAUGGCUCACCAAGGCGUCGACGGGUAGCCGGCCUGAGAGGGUGACCGGCCACACUGGGAUUGAGACAUGGCCCAGACUCCUACGGGAGGCAGCAGUGGGGAAUAUUGCACAAUGGGCGAAAGCCUGAUGCAGCAACGCCGCGUGAGGGAUGACGGCCUUCGGGUUGUAAACCUUUUUUAGCAGGGAAGAAGCGAAAGUGACGGUACCUGCAGAAAAAGCGCCGGCUAACUACGUG
rnacentral:rRNA from 1 species